rnacentral:rRNA from 1 species
UACGGAGGGUGCUAGCGUUGUUCGGAAUCACUGGGCGUAAAGCGCGUGUAGGCGGCCCAUCAAGUCUGAUGUGAAAGCCCGGGGCUCACCCCCGGAAGUGCAUUGGAAACUGUUGGGCUCGAGUCCCGGAGAGGAGGGUGGAAUUCCUGGUGUAGCGGUGAAAUGCGUAGAUAUCAGGAGGAACACCGGUGGCGAAGGCGGCCCUCUGGACAGUUACUGACGCUGAGGCACGAAGGCCAGGGGAGCAAACGGG